rnacentral:rRNA from 1 species
UUCCGGUUGAUCCUGCCGGACCCGACUGCUAUCGGAGUGGGGCUAAGCCAUGCGAGUCGUACGCUUCUUGACUGCAAGAGGCGUGGCGAACGGCUCAGUAACACGUAGCUAACUUAACCUAGAGACGUGGAUAACCCCGGGAAACUGGGACUAAUCCGCGAUAGAUCAAGGCUCCUGGAAUGGGCUUUGGUCGAAAGGGAUGGACAAGCAUGUUUUGUCCAUCUGCUCUAGGAUAGGGCUGCGGCCGAUCAGGUUGUUGGUGGGGUAAUGGCCCACCAAGCCUAUAACCGGUACGGGCUUUGAGAGAAGGAGCCCGGAGAUGGACACUGAGACAAGGGUCCAGGCCCUACGGGGCGCAGCAGGCGCGAAACCUUCGCAAUACGCGAAAGCGUGACGAGGUCACUCCGAGUGCCACUCGCUGAGGGUGGCUUUUCCCAAGUCUAAAAAGCUUGGGGAAUAAGGGGAGGGUAAGUCUGGUGUCAGCCGCCGCGGUAAUACCAGCUCCCCGAGUGGUCGGGACGUUUAUUGGGCCUAAAGCAUCCGUAGCCGGUCUUGUAGGUCUUCUGUUAAACCCAACGGCCCAACCGUUGGACUGCAGAAGAUACCGCAGGACUAGGAGGCGGGAGAGGCGGACGGUACUCCAUGGGUAGGGGUAAAAUCCUUUGAUCCAUGGAAGACCACCAGUGGCGAAGGCGGUCCGCCAGAACGCGCUCGACGGUGAGGGAUGAAAGCUGGGGGAGCGAACCGGAUUAGAUACCCGGGUAGUCCCAGCCCGUAAACGAUGCGAGCUAGGUGAUGGAGUGGCUGUGUGCCAUUCCAGUGCCGCAGGGAAGCCGUUAAGCUCGCCGCCUGGGGAGUACGGCCGCAAGGCUGAAACUUAAAGGAAUUGGCGGGGG